rnacentral:pre_miRNA from 1 species
CUCGGAGGUGGGGUCCCUCAGCCCGGAUUGUGAGAGGGCACAGGCCAGGCCUAGGGAUCCCACUGUGCAUG